rnacentral:rRNA from 1 species
AGAGUUUGAUCCUGGCUCAGAACAACGCUGGCGGCGUGCCUAACACAUGCAAGUCGAACGAGAAAGUGGGAGCAAUCCUGCGAGUACAGUGGCAGACGGGUGAGUAACACGUGAACAAUCUACCCUCGAGUGGGGAAUAACACCGCGAAAGCGGUGCUAAUACCGCAUAACAUCGCCGGGGCGCAUGUCCUGGUGAUCAAAGGCGAAAGUCGCUUGGGGAGGAGUUCGCGCCUGAUUAGCUAGUUGGUGAGGUAACGGCCCACCAAGGCGACGAUCAGUAGCCGGCCUGAGAGGGCGAACGGCCACACUGGAACUGAGACACGGUCCAGACUCCUACGGGAGGCAGCAGUGGGGAAUUUUGCGCAAUGGGCGAAAGCCUGACGCAGCAACGCCGCGUGGAGGAUGAAGGCCUUCGGGUCGUAAACUCCUGUCAGGGGGGACGAAAAAAAUGACUGUACCCCCUGAGGAAGCCACGGCUAACUCCGUGCCAGCAGCCGCGGUAAUACGGAGGUGGCAAGCGUUGUUCGGAAUUACUGGGCGUAAAGGGCGCGUAGGCGGCUUUACAAGUCAGAUGUGAAAGCCCCGGGCUUAACUCGGGAAUUGCAUCUGAAACUGUUUUGCUUGAGUCCUGGAGGGGGUAGUGGAAUUCCCAGUGUAGCGGUGAAAUGCGUAGAUAUUGGGAGGAACACCUGUGGCGAAGGCGGCUACCUGGACAGUGACUGACGCUGAUGCGCGAAAGCUAGGGGAGCAAACGGGAUUAGAUACCCCGGUAGUCCUAGCCGUAAACGAUGGGCACUUGGGUGUCGUGGGUAUUGAGUCCCCCGGUGCCGGAGUUAACACUUUAAUGCCCCGCCUGGGGGAGUACGGUCGCAAGACUGAAACUCAAAGAAAUUGACGG